AGCCUUAAGAUUAAUAUUUAAGGUGAAACCUGCUCAAUGCACAAUGUUGUUAAUAGCCGCAGUACCUUGACUGUGCUAAGGUAGCAUAAUCAGUUGGCUUUUAAAUGGAGUCGGGAAUGAAAGGAUAAAUAGGGUUAAGCUGUCUCUUAUAUAAUUUAUUUAAUUUACUUAUUAGGUGAAAAUGCCUAUUUUAAGAAAAAAGACGAGAAGACCCCUGGAGUUUUUACUAAAUAGUUUUAUAAACUUACUGUUUUUGUUGGGGCGACAUUAGGAAAAUUAAACUCCUAUGAAUUAUUUGACGAUUAUUAUAAGUAAAAGAAAACUACCCUGGGGAUAACAGCGUAAUUUAUUAAAGUUUGCGACCUCGAUGUUGGAUUAGGAAUUUUUUAGGUUAGCCGCCUAUUUCUAUUGUUCUGUUCGAACUUAAUUUCC
rnacentral:rRNA from 1 species